rnacentral:rRNA from 1 species
AACGAACGCUGGCGGCAUGCCUAACACAUGCAAGUCGAACGAGACCUUCGGGUCUAGUGGCGCACGGGUGCGUAACGCGUGGGAACCUUCCCUUAUGUUCGGAAUAACUCCCCGAAAGGGGUGCUAAUACCGGAUAAUGUCUUCUGACCAAAGAUUUAUCGCCUUUGGAUGGUCCCGCGUUGGAUUAGCUAGUUGGUAGGGUAAAAGCCUACCAAGGCGACGAUCCAUAGCUGGUCUGAGAGGAUGAUCAGCCACACUGGGACUGAGACACGGCGCAGACUACUACGGGAGGCAGCAGUGGGGAAUAUUGGAAAAUGGGCGAAAGCCUGAUCAAGCAAUGCCGCGUGAGUGAUGAAGGCGUUAGGGUUGUAAAGCUCUUUUACCCGGGAUGAUAAUGACAGUACCGGGAGAAUAAGCUCCGGCUAACUCCGUG